AACAGGUGAUGAACUCAUUGAUGGGUGGACAGAGGCUGUGCUGAUUGUCAUGUUCUGAUGUG
ensembl:snoRNA